rnacentral:rRNA from 1 species
CGGAAAGGCCCAGCUUGCUGGGUACUCGAGUGGCGAACGGGUGAGUAACACGUGGGUGAUCUGCCCCUGACUUUGGGAUAAGCCUGGGAAACUGGGUCUAAUACCGGAUAUGACCUUACAUCGCAUGGUGUUUGGUGGAAAGCUUUUGCGGUUGGGGAUGGGCCCGCGGCCUAUCAGCUUGUUGGUGGGGUAAUGGCCUACCAAGGCGACGACGGGUAGCCGACCUGAGAGGGUGAUCGGCCACACUGGGACUGAGACACGGCCCAGACUCCUACGGGAGGCAGCAGUGGGGAAUAUUGCACAAUGGGCGCAAGCCUGAUGCAGCGACGCCGCGUGAGGGAUGACGGCCUUCGGGUUGUAAACCUCUUUCACCAGGGACGAAGCGUGAGUGACGGUACCUGGAGAAGAAGCACCGGCCAACUACGUGCCAGCAGCCGCGGUAAUACGUAGGGUGCGAGCGUUGUCCGGAAUUACUGGGCGUAAAGAGCUCGUAGGCGGUUUGUCGCGUCGUCUGUGAAAUUCUGCAGCUUAACUGUAGGCGUGCAGGCGAUACGGGCAGACUUGAGUACUACAGGGGAGACUGGAAUUCCUGGUGUAGCGGUGAAAUGCGCAGAUAUCAGGAGGAACACCGGUGGCGAAGGCGGGUCUCUGGGUAGUAACUGACGCUGAGGAGCGAAAGCGUGGGUAGCGAACAGGAUUAGAUACCCUGGUAGUCCACGCCGUAAACGGUGGGUACUAGGUGUGGGGCUCAUUUCACGAGUUCCGUGCCGUAGCUAACGCAUUAAGUACCCCGCCUGGGGAGUAC